AAGAGUUGCAAAACUCCAAACCAUUGCUUAACGUUACCAUGAUCGUCGUUGCCUUCGGCGGCGGCUUCGCCCUACCCGCCCCUUUGCGGGGGACGCUACCCGACUCUUGGCACGACUCUUUAUUAUGGCCUUCUGUGAGUAUGAUUUUUAAAUAAGUUCA
rnacentral:misc_RNA from 1 species